rnacentral:rRNA from 1 species
UACGAAGGGUGCAAGCGUUAAUCGGAAUUACUGGGCGUAAAGCGCGCGUAGGCGGUUUGAUAAGUGAGAUGUGAAAGCCCCGGGCUCAACCUGGGAACUGCAUCUCAUACUGUCAGGCUAGAGUACGGUAGAGGGGGGUAGAAUUCCACGUGUAGCGGUGAAAUGCGUAGAGAUGUGGAGGAAUACCAGUGGCGAAGGCGGCCCCCUGGAUCGAUACUGACGCUGAGGUGCGAAAGCGUGGGGAGCAAACAGG